UGCCUCUCCUCCUUAGUUUUA
rnacentral:siRNA from 1 species